rnacentral:rRNA from 1 species
AGCGAACGCUGGCGGCAGGCCUAACACAUGCAAGUCGAACGAACUCUUCGGAGUUAGUGGCGGACGGGUGAGUAACACGUGGGAACGUGCCUUUAGGUUCGGAAUAACUCAGGGAAACUUGUGCUAAUACCGAAUGUGCCCUUCGGGGGAAAGAUUUAUCGCCUUUAGAACGGCCCGCGUCUGAUUAGCUAGUUGGUGAGGUAAAGGCUCACCAAGGCGACGAUCAGUAGCUGGUCUGAGAGGAUGAUCAGCCACAUUGGGACUGAGACACGGCCCAAACUCCUACGGGAGGCAGCAGUGGGGAAUCUUGCGCAAUGGGCGAAAGCCUGACGCAGCCAUGCCGCGUGAAUGAUGAAGGUCUUAGGAUUGUAAAAUUCUUUCGCCGGGGACGAUAAUGACGGUACCCGGAGAAGAAGCCCCGGCUAACUUCGUG